AACGCACCUUGCACUCCUUGGUAUUCCGAGGAGUAUGCCUGUUUGAGUGUUAUUAUAUUCUCAAAUCUCAAUCAGUUUACUGAUCUGAGACUUUGGAUGUGGGAGUUGCAGGCUCUUAGAAGUCUGCUCUCCUUAAAUGUAUUAGUGGUUACUGAUUGACCAUAUCUUGGUGUGAUAAUAUCUACUCCAAGGUUGGUUAGUAAUUUAAAGUAGCUGCUUCAAACAGUCCAUUAACUUGGACAACUUUGAACUAUUUAACCUCAAAUCAGGUAGGAUUACCCGCUGAACUUAA
rnacentral:misc_RNA from 1 species